GUGAAGUUGAUCACAUACAAACAUAUACCCCUUUGUUUGACCGUGAAAAAUUUCUCCCAUCCCCUUUGUUCGUAAAAUGGAAACCCCUGGCUAUGCCAGGGGUUUCUU
rnacentral:sRNA from 1 species